AUUGAACGCUGGCGGCAGGCUUAACACAUGCAAGUCGAGCGGGGGAAGGUAGCUUGCUACCGGACCUAGCGGCGGACGGGUGAGUAAUGCUUAGGAAUCUGCCUAUUAGUGGGGGACAACAUCUCGAAAGGGAUGCUAAUACCGCAUACGUCCUACGGGAGAAAGCAGGGGAUCUUCGGACCUUGCGCUAAUCGAUGAGCCUAAGUCGGAUUAGCUAGUUGGUGGGGUAAAGGCCUACCAAGGCGACGAUCUGUAACGGGUCUGAGAGGAAGAUGCGCAACAAUGGGACUUAGACACGGCCCAGACUCCUACGGGAGGCAGCAGUGGGGAAUAUUGGACAAUGGGGGGAACCCUGAUCCAGCCAUGCCGCGUGUGUGAAGAAGGCCUUAUGGUUGUAAAGCACUUUAAGCGAGGAGGAGGCUACUUUAGUUAAUACCUAGAGAUAGUGGACGUUACUCGCAGAAUAAGCACCGGCUAACUCUGUGCCAGCCGCCGCCGUAA
rnacentral:rRNA from 1 species